AUUGAACGCUGGCGGCAGGCUUAAUACAUGCAAGUCGAGCGGGGGAAGGUAGCUUGCUACCGGACCUAGCGGCGGACGGGUGAGUAAUGCUUAGGAAUCUGCCUAUUAGUGGGGGACAACAUCUCGAAAGGGAUGCUAAUACCGCAUACGUCCUACGGGAGAAAGCAGGGGAUCUUCGGACCUUGCGCUAAUAGAUGAGCCUAAGUCGGAUUAGCUAGUUGGUGGGGUAAAGGCCUACCAAGGCGACGAUCUGUAGCGGGUCUGAGAGGAUGAUCCGCCACACUGGGACUGAGACACGGCCCAGACUCCUACGGGAGGCAGCAGUGGGGAAUAUUGGACAAUGGGGGGAACCCUGAUCCAGCCAUGCCGCGUGUGUGAAGAAGGCCUUAUGGUUGUAAAGCACUUUAAGCGAGGAGGAGGCUACUCUAGUUAAUACCUAGGGAUAGUGGACGUUACUCGCAGAAUAAGCACCGGUUAACUCUGUGCCAGCAGCCGCGGUAA
rnacentral:rRNA from 1 species